GCAUCGAUGGUGUAAUGGUAGCACGAAUGCCUUCCAAGCAUUAGACCCGGGUUCGAUUCCCGGUCGAUGCA